rnacentral:rRNA from 1 species
AGGACGAACGCUGGCGGCGUGCUUAACACAUGCAAGUCGAGCGGAAAGGCCCUUCGGGGUACUCGAGCGGCGAACGGGUGAGUAACACGUGAGCAACCUGCCCUUAGCUCCGGGAUAGCUCCGGGAAACCGGAAUUAAUACCGGAUACGACCACGGCCGACAUCUGCUGUGGUGGAAAGGAUUCCGGCUAAGGAUGGGCUCGCGGCCUAUCAGCUAGUUGGUGGAGUAACGGCCCACCAAGGCGACGACGAGUA